AUGAACGCUGGCGGUGUGCCUCAUACAUGCAAGUCGAGCGAACAGACGAGGAGCUUACUCCUCUGACGUUAGCGGCGGACGGGUGAGUAACACGUGGAUAACCUACCUAUAAGACUGGGAUAACUUCGGGAAACCGGAGCUAAUACCGGAUAACAUGUUGAACCGCAUGGUUCAACAGUGAAAGACGGUCUUGCUGUCACUUAUAGAUGGAUCCGCGUCGCAUUAGCUAGUUGGUAAGGUAACGGCUUACCAAGGCAACGAUGCGUAGCCGACCUGAGAGGGUGAUCGGCCACACUGGAACUGAGACACGGUCCAGACUCCUACGGGAGGCAGCAGUAGGGAAUCUUCCGCAAUGGGCGAAAGCCUGACGGAGCAACGCCGCGUGAGUGAAGAAGGUCUUCGGAUCGUAAAACUCUGUUAUUAGGGAAGAACAAAUGUGUAGGUAACUAUGCACGUCUUGACGGUACCUAAUCAGAAAGCCACGGCUAACUACGUG
rnacentral:rRNA from 1 species